rnacentral:lncRNA from 1 species
UCUUGGGGGGAAUAUUUGCUACGUAUCGGGGUUCAUUUUUCAUACGAACUCUCUAUUUAGCAUUUAACGUAGAGGAUUGUAGCUUUCAUUGCCUACCAGUGAAGCACAGGCUUGCCAAAAAUAAUGGUUCGGCGGUUUGUACGUUCAUCUUGCCUUAUCUUGUCUGCGCAAAAAAAUUAAUACUGUAGCCAUAUCAUUCCACAUUCUUUGUUGAUUAUUAUAUUUAUCUUUGAAAACAAAAGGAGCCGGUUUUACAUUUCACACAUACUACUAUGGUAAAGAAAGGGUUUGAUUGCACAUGAGACAUAAUUAAGAAGAA